rnacentral:rRNA from 1 species
CCCUUAGAUGUUCUGGGCCGCACGCGCGCUACACUGAUGCAUUCAACGAGUUUCUUCCUGGUCCGAGAGGAAUGGGUAACCUUUUGAAAGUGCAUCGUGAUAGGGAUAGACUAUUGCAAUUAUUGGUCUUCAACGAUGAAUUCCUAGUAGACGUAGUUCAUCAGACUGCAUCGAUUACGUCCCUGCCCUUUGUACACACCGCCCGUCGCUCCUACCGAUUGAAUGCUCAGGUGAGCCAUUCGGACUUUCAUCAUGCUGGUUUCCAGUUUUGAUGAAGGAAAGUCUUGCGAACCUUAUCAUUUAGAGGAAGGAGAAGUCGUAACA